CUGUGGAGUAAACAGCAGCACGAACUGAGCCACGUGGAGGCAUGGGAGUAGCUUUUGGUUCCAGGUUUGUGCUUCACUGGACCUGACAGACAGAGAGCCCCAUGGUGAGAACAUGCAAACUCUUGUUUCUGGCUGUAUCCAUAAAUCAUGCUGCAGGCCACCUCUGCCUUACAUUGAACCUCCCUUGGCCAGGCUGGAGAGAGGCUCCCUUUUUGCCCUUAUGAAUCACUUUUCUCAGGCCAGUUGCCUGCAUCGCUGAGCACAUGUGUAGGUGUGUGUGAGAGGAGAGGAUUAUUUUCUUCAGUCAGGUUUUACAUCAUGAAGGAAGAACUUCCUUGGCCUUGCUUGGUGGUUUCCUUCAGUGAAGUCCUGCAUUUCUUGUGGCUCAAGUGAAU